CAACUUUUCUCCUUCCCAGAAUGUAAACAAGGACUGACGUUACUUACUCAUGCUAUCAUUUAUUAUUCUAUUACUUAUUCCCUGCGGUACUGUGGCGAGUGGCGAGUGGGGCGAGAGAGAGUGAGAGGGAGUGCCUUGGUGACCGCCCCAGCUAUGGCUUGCCACAAUUCCCUCAACGACGGCCACCUGGGGGAGUCCGUGGUGCUGCCCAGGACACAAGGUUACGAUUAUGAGUUUGUGCCAACGCUGGACCCCAAGUAUGAGUGUCCCAUCUGCCUGCUGGCUCUGAGGGCGCCCCUGCAGACUGCCUGUGGCCACCGCUUCUGCAAGGACUGUAUCUACAACUCCCUCAGUGAGUCAAGCAGGAGGUGUCCAAUUGACAACACCCCUCUGAAGGAGACGGACCUCUUCCCGGACUCCUGCGCCGAGAGAGAGGUUCUGCAGUUGAGGGUGAGGUGCCCAAACACUUCUCUAGGCUGUUCCCAAGUCCUGGACCUCAUGUAUAUUGAACAUCACACACAGGCUUGUAGUUUCCAGCCUGUGUUGUGUCCGAAUGAGUGUUCCGCCACAGUGCUGCAGAAAGAACUGGACCAUCACCUUGAUUCUCAGUGCCUGCUGCGUCUCAAGCUGUGUGCGCUGUGUGACCUGCCCUACCCAUUCAACGAGGAGCAACUGCACCUGGCCACCUGUGCGCAAGUAAUGGUGUCGUGUGAACUGUGUGGGUGUGUGGUGGCGCGGGGGGAGCUGCCGACGCACCGUAGUGACAGCUGCCCCAGGGUGGUGGUGGGGUGCCCCUACACAGAACAUGGCUGCUCCCACAAGACUGUCCGCGCCGAUCUGGACGCCCACCUCAGCCAGUCCACUCAGUACCACCUUCAUCUCCUGUCGUCAGCCCAGAAGCGCGUCACUGCCCUGGUGUGGGAAUUGAGUCGGUCCGCUGGCAUGUGGGGGCAGUCACCAAGCGGUCUGGGGUUCAGCAGACAGCCCAGCCUCAGGAGCCAGCUAUCGGCCACCUCCCCAAGCCCUGACCGGCAGCUUGGGGAGGGUAGCUGUGGGGAGAGAGGGCUAGUCUUCCCAUCCUCAGCCCUUAAACUAGAUGGCACACCUCCUUCUAAGCUUCAUCUCAGCUUCUCCCAGCUUGCAAUUGUCGGGGAAGGCGCCACAGCACUGGAGGAGGGGAAGACCGGGGAGGACGGCAAGGCAGGGUUGGGGAAGGACCUGGCUGGCAUCCACCACCAGCAGGAGGCAAUACUGAAGGACCUGUGUGGCAAGACGCUGGAGGUGAGUCAGGGGCUGCUGCAGGUGAACAUUAGCCUGAGUAACCUGCAGGCGCGGGUGGAAGAGAUGGAAGGAUGGGUGGCGGCAGAGCUGGGCGAGGCGGCGCGGGGCAAGUACUGCCAGGGGGAGUACGUGUGGCGCCUCAAGGACUUCCCGGGCACCCUGGCUGAGCUGCGGGAGAAGCCAACGAGAGUCAUCCACUCCCCCGGCUUUUACACAUCCCCCUUUGGCUACAAGUUCUGCCUGCGACUCAACUUGACGAGGGGGAGCGGCAAGGGGGAGCGGGGCGGUGAGGAGUGGCUGUCCCUCUUCAUCCACGGCAUGCAGGGCGAGAACGACGACUUCCUGGACUGGCCCUUCUCUGGCAUCAUCACCUUCUCCCUCCUGGACUGUGGCGCGGGGAGACCCAAGGCACACAUCACUGAGACCCUCCACAGCAGCCCAGACCGUCAGUCCUUCAGCCGGCCUCAGAUGCACCGUAAUCCGAAGGGCUUUGGUUACACAGAGUUUGCGCCACUCAGCAAGGUGGUGGAGGGGUCUGGCAGGGCGGAGUACGUUCACGAGGGCACGCUGCACAUCAGGGCCACCGUCAGGCUCCAGCAGCAACACCAGGGCUCCACUGGCAAGACUGGCUGCAUCUGUCAACACCAGCAGAAAUCUCAGAAGGUUUGAUGAAAUGUUUUGUUAUGUUUAUUUGUUAAGUUUUCAGGUUCAUCAACAGAAGUCACAGAAGAUUUGUUGAGAUGUUUUUGUAUAUUUAUUUGUUGUCUAAGUCAACAAGUGCAUUUUAUCUGUGUUGGGUGGUGUGUCUGUCAACUCCAGCACAAGUCACUGAAGGUUUGAUGAAGUGUUUUGAAAUAUUCAUUCAUUAACUUGCUUCACAGUUUUUUAUAUAUAUAAUUAUUUAUUAUUAUUUCUUUUUAGCCCUUUUUUUAAGGUUGUGAUUUUUAGGUGACUGUAAUCUCAACUGUUUUAUCACUACAGUGCAUAAUGAACAAACUGCACAUGAAUCUCAGAAAACAUUUAAACACUUAAAGAUUGUGGGACUAUAGCAGGAUACAAGACCACAGUUACACACAGAAUAUCUCCCUGUACAAACUCAUACUAUUACUACUACCACAGACUAUACUGACCGCCAAGCAUCACUGUCAGAUACAACUCCUGUGGGUAUGUGUGGCCAGCUGUGGUGUGCCUAAGGUAUGUGUGUGGGUAUGUGUGGCCAGCUGUGGUGUGCCUAAGGUAUGUGUGUGGGUAUGUGUGGCCAGCUGUGGUGUGCCUAAGCUUCUGGGGUGUAAUGGAGGCUGAUGGGGCUGAGGGUGUGCGUGUGUGAGUGCGUGAGUGUGUGCGUGUGUGUGGUGCCUUGUCUGGGCCGCCCCGUGUGGCAUUGCUAGCCUGGUAUAUAGGUAUAUUUAAUUAAUUUCACCUGUAACAUUAUUUCUUGAGGUAAUUGAUCAGUUCCCCUCCAAAUGUCUUCCCACAGUAUAGGUAGAUUUAAUUAAUUUCAGGUGCAAAAACAGGUAAUUGAUCAGUUCCCACAGGUUGUGUUCUUCAAGAGUUCACGUAAUACUCAAUCUAUCUCUGUGUUCUCCUUAUUCCAUUAUCCAGAUGUAUUAGUUUAUCACUCUGCUCUGAAAUGUUAUCAAGUCUUCUUUGUGUUCUUGUCUCUGUUCCACUCGUGUUCUUAAUUCACGACUGUUCUUAGAUAUCAUCAUUUAUUUCAGUUAUGUUCUCUUGGCCUGCUGCUGCGUCUUCUGUAACAGGUGCCUAUAGGUGUGUUCUUCAGGUAUGAUUAUUACCAGGUGUGUUCUUCAAGUAUGUUCAGGUGUUCUUUAUCAGCAGGUGUGUUCUUGAAGGCUACACCACACCUGUUCCUCUCAUCACAGGUGUUGGGUAUUGUCAUUAAUUGUAUUCUCAGUCAGUCAGUCAGUCGGUCAUUCAAUCAGUCAGUCAGUCAGUCAGUCAGUCAAUCAAUCAGUCAGUCAGUCAGUCAGUCAGUCAGUCAGCCAGUCAGUCAGUCAGUCAGUCAAUUAGUAAGUCACAGUCAAUCAUUAUUCCUGCAUACUUCAUCUGACUACAUAUACCUUAAUUAGUCAUGUAUACCUUACCUGUACACCUAAUCUACUCAUAUAGUAUACUUGGCCUGUAUAUCUCACCUGGCCUUGUAUACAGUACCUGCCAAUGUAAAUUUCGCUGUAUUCAUAACCUAGCCAUCUAUAUCUCAUUGUAUACAUCACCUACUCUUGUAUAUCUGUGUAUAUCUAAUUUUGGUCAUGCAUAUUCCACUGUAUACUUUAUCUGUUCAUGUGUAUCUUGCUAUGUAUCUUAUCUCUUCACUUCAGUUUACCGGUGAUGUAUAAUUAUGUAUGAUUCUUGUAUUUGGGUGAUCUCUUGCUUAGCUUUAUAAAUGUGAUCGUUUUCUGAGUCAUUCCCUCAUGUGUGUGUGUGUGUGUGUGUGUGUGUGUGUGUGUGUGUGUGUGUGUGUGUGUGUGUGUGUGUGUGUGUGUGUGUGUGUGUGUGAAUGCCAUGCUCAUAUAUGCCAACAAGUGAUUGAUGUUCCUGUCUCUGUCAUUCAUGUGGUGUCUGGGUAAUGGCUUGCUGCUGUUUGUUAUUGCACCUUUUCAGAUGCUUCAAUUAUUUUGUUAUCUAAGUAUAAUUCCAGUCAGGUCUCUUUGAACUUGCGCCAAAUUUCAUCACAUGACAUUACCACCAUUAACUUCAUUGCACCAUCAUUAACCCUUUCAUUGCACCAGCAUUAACCCUUUCAGUACACCUCAUUAACCCUUUCAGUGCACCAUCAUUAACCCUUUCAGUGCACCAUCAUUAACCCUUUCAGUGCACCAUCAUUAACCCUUUCAGUACACCUCAUUAACCCUUUCAGUACACCUCAUUAACCCUUUCAGUGCACCAUCAUUAACCCUUUCAGUACACCUCAUUAACCCUUUCAGUACACCUCAUUAACCCUUUCAGUGCCAAAUUUUACCACAUGACACUCAUCAUCAUUAACUCUUCCAGUGCAAUAUACAACAAUUUGCAGAAGAAAGAAGACAAAAAGAAUAGAUUUUGCAAUUUCUACCCCAGCAUUAUUUGAAAGUAGGUACAAAACAAGAAUAGCUGCCUUAGAGUGACUAGUAAAUAAGGAAAGAUAGGAUAGGUAGCAGUGAAAGGGUUAAAAAACAUAUUUCCUAUUUCUUCCUCCAUCCGCAGAGUUUCUCUAAGUCUUUCCGUCACUCCUUGCAUGAACCGUCACCAUUUAAGUUCCUAUGUCAGUCAUCUGUGUUGUUCUCCUUAUGUUCUCUCCCUCCUAUGUUCUCAAAUGCAAGUCCGUGUUAUAACAUGCCGGCUUGGUGUGUUCUAUCUCGCUUUCACUAUGUUAUCAAAACCCACCUGUGUUCUUAUUGUGUUGGCAUUGUGUUCUUUUCUCUGUGUGUUCAUUGUGCUAGCCUGGUGCCCUGCAUUCUCUAACUCGCCUGUGUUCUCGUGGAUUGUAUUGGAAGUUGUUGUGUCAUUGUUUUUUUGUUUUUUUUAUGGGUUUAUCAAUGAGUCUACACAUUUAACAGGUUGUAGUGGAAGUUAUUAGGGUUUUCAAGGAUAAGAAUUUCACUAACCAGUCCUGAUAUCUUACAGUUUAAUCUCUCUCUCUCUCUCUCUCUCUCUCUCUCUCUCUCUCUCUCUCUCUCUCUCUCUCUCUCUCUCUCUCUCUCUCUCUCUCUCUCUCUCUCUCUCUCUCUCUCUCUCUCUCUCUCUCUCUCUCUCUCUCUCUCUCUCUCUCUCUCUCUCUCUCUCUCUCUCUCUCUCUCUCUCUCUCUCUCUCUCUCUCUCUCUCUCUCCUGAAACGGCAAUGCUCAAAGGUUUCUGUCCAUUACAUUAAGAAAGGGAAGGAAUUAGUGAUGGGAAGAGAUGAUAGUAUUAGCACAAUUAAAGCCAAACAUUCCUGUGUAUAAGUAUUCUCCUGGACGCUGUGUAUUAAAGAACAGUAUUUUCUUACUAUUUGAUAUGAAUGAAGAGAUUAUUUGUGAUAUGUCCUAAGAGAGAUGAUUUAAUGCAGCAGGUAUAUUGAAGCUGCUGUGAUGCAACAAGAUUAUUAAUACCUUUGUGUAAAAAUAAAGAUGUAUUUUAUUCAUA